CUCACCGUGGCGGACGCCAGGCUGUUGUCGGCCAGCGUUAGGUGGUGCGGCUCCCAGCGCCUCAGGAAUUUCGAGGCCGGGUCAUUUCUGUCUGCGUUCCCAGGCCCUGCAGGGCUGUGAGAGAACCAUAUUGGAAGCACCCUCAGGGAAAGAACUGCCAUGUCACGGGGGCACUCCAGCUGUGCAACAAGAAAUGGACCCUGUGUGCCAUCGGAAAAGCAACACUAUGACACAGGAUUGACCCAUCACCAUCCCCUCCUGCAGGGACUUUAUGAAAUGCCAGGCUGCUGCUGACGCGUGGAAAUGGAUGCCUGGCACAGCCGCACAGAGGUUUGAAGGCCACGGAUCAUAUUUUUAAAAAUAAAAACCACUGUGUUUUUCAGAUUAAUUGCAUCUCUCUCCCACACCAGCCUUUGCGGUGAGCUGCUCAAAUUGACCAAUUUAAAUGUGACCUCAC